rnacentral:rRNA from 2 species
GAUGAACGCUGGCGGCGCGCCUAACACAUGCAAGUCGAACGGUUAAAGCACCUUUUAGGUGUGUAUAAAGUGGCGAACGGCUGAGUAACACGUGGGCAACCUGCCCUCCUCUUGGGGAUAGCCUCGGGAAACCGAGGAUAAUACCCGAUACUUCAAUGUGGCCGCAUGACGACAUUGAGAAAGCUUUUGCGGAGAAGGAUGGGCCCGCGGCCUGUUAGCUUGUUGGUGGGGUAGAGGCCUACCAAGGCAAUGAUGGGUAGCUGGGUUGAGAGACCGACCAGCCAGAUUGGGACUGAGACACGGCCCAGACUCCUACGGGAGGCAGCAGUGGGGAAUCUUGCACAAUGGGCGAAAGCCUGAUGCAGCGACGCCGCGUGCGGGACGAAGGCCUUUCGGGUUGUAAACCGCUUUUCAGCAGGGACGAGGCGAAAGUGACGGUACCUGCAGAAGAAGCC